GACGAACGCUGGCGGCGUGCUUAACACAUGCAAGUCGAACGGUGAAGCGCCUUCCUUUUUGGUGGGUGUGGAUGAGUGGCGAACGGGUGAGUAACACGUGAGUAACCUGCCCCCUUCUUCUGGAUAACCGCAUGAAAGUGUGGCUAAUACGGGAUAUUCUGGGUCUGUCGCAUGAUGGGUCUGGGAAAGAUCUUGUUUCGGUGGGGGAUGGGCUCGCGGCCUAUCAGCUUGUUGGUGGGGUGAUGGCCUACCAAGGCGGUGACGGGUAGCCGGCCUGAGAGGGUGGACGGUCACACUGGGACUGAGACACGGCCCAGACUCCUACGGGAGGCAGCAGUGGGGAAUAUGGCACAAUGGGCGCAAGCCUGAUGCAGCGACGCCGCGUGAGGGAUGGAGGCCUUCGGGUUGUGAACCUCUUUCGCCAGUGAAGCAGGCCUGCCUCGUUUGUGGGUGGGUUGACGGUAGCUGGAUAAGAAGCGCCGGCUAACUACGUG
rnacentral:rRNA from 1 species